GCACCUUAGAGACUAACAAAUUUAUUUGAGCAUAAGCUUUUGUGGGCUACAGCCCACUUCAUCAGAUGCAUGCAGUGGAAAAUACAGUAGGAGGAUUUUAUAUACACAGAGAACACGAAAUAAUGGGCGUUACCAUGCACACUAAAACGAGUGUGAUCAGGUAAGGUGACCUAUUACCAGCAGGAGAGAAAAAAAACUUUUU